CAGCAUUUUGGUUUAGUAGAAAAUUGCUGCCAUCUACAAGAAGGAAGAUGAGGAGGAUAAUGAAGACAAAGAUUGAGAAAAAUUGAAGUAUAUAUCUAGUUUCUCAAACAUGCAUCCUGGUAUGAUGGAGCCUGGAUGUAUUUUGCAUCAACAGGAUCUUCUUUAGAAGUGUCUGUUGCGGUUUAUUGCAGUUAGAUGAACUGCAAAUCUAUUAAGGUGCUCUAAAUUUACUAAUAAUAUCAUACAUUUUGCUGAAGUAUUGGUUUUUACCAAAAUAAUAUUUAUUUGAAGGUCUGUUGAUAGUGCUUUUAUGGCAUUGUUUCAGUGUAAGCUUACACGUCUAAUGUUGUUGAUUAGUCUUUUGGUGAUAGUUCCUAAGGAAUGCCAAGAUAUACAACCUCGUAGUUGGCUUGAUAGUCUUGAUGAUGGUACAACUGUGGUUGGGAUCAAUGCGGUCUUUGAUAUUGAAAAAGCCCAUCUAAAAACAAACGCAUUCUGAGUUUGUUGUUCUUUCUUUAGCAUGACUCCCGACACUUGUGUGCUUUUCUUUGUAAAAGUUGUAGUUUAUGUUACUUUUUUUGGAUGUUAAUAUAAACAAUUGAUGCUCAAAGACAUAAAUGGAUUGGCCGAGCAGAAUGUUCAUAUGAGGAGGCAGAGGAGCCUUGUGCAGUCUUUUUUAUCAGUUUUAAAGUAGAGAGAUGGAGUUAAACAUUGCUCAGAAAAUUUAUUUACUGUCUACGUAGUGCUUGCUUGUUUGGAAAUUUUUUUGGCACCUGAACUCCUACUGGCUGUGCCCUUGUGCUAAUUUACGAAAGUGUUAUAAAUGGAACUCAAAGAGCGUACAUGAUUGCACGAACCUAUUGAGUGCUAUCCCCAACAAGCGAAUUGAGCAAGUGUAUCACGAAGCCAACCAAUGUACUGAUGCACUGCAAAGUUUGUAGCUGGCUCUCAAUGUCUUUUUGUCUCUUUUAAUGAAUCACCGCUUGUGGUGGAGAACAUGCUUGCUUUUGACAAAGUUGAGCUAA